rnacentral:lncRNA from 7 species
UUUCCCGCCCACAGCGCGUGGUGUUCCCCACAGCCCCUCUCGCUGAGCCAGAUUAAUCACCAAUUUGUAGCUGGUGAUACAAACCCUUGGAGUAUCCGCUAUACUGCCUGUGCUGCAAAGAAUAAUAGGCGUAUUUGGUCUGUAAGAAGAAACCUGCAGUUAAUAACAGGCAUAGAUGGAUAUGUAAAUCAUACCUAAGGACCUAAUGAAGAAGCAAUUGCUUUCCUUUUUUCCUAUACUGGCAGAGGAUACAGAUGAAGCAGGUGCCUCAAGCUGCAGGCCAGAGCACAAGGUGAAUCAGGUAUACCAAGCAAGAAUCCCAGGCUGGAUUUCCUACAGAGGCACUUCCUAACCUUUGCUGAGCAAGGCUUCAGUCUGUUACCCCCUGCCUGCCUAACCUUCCUGCAAUGCAAAAAUAAACAAAG